rnacentral:lncRNA from 1 species
GUGAUUGGUUACCACCGGAGCUAUUCCAAAGGCAAUCACUGUAUUGUGCUCACCCAGCCUAACAAUUCCCUUGUGCUCUGCACUUGAUAGCUGGUUUAAAAAUCAAAACCCAAAACAAGCAAACAGAACAAUGCUAGCAGAUUCUUAGUACAGUUGCAUGCACGUGCUUAGCCUGGCCUAGUGGGGCAGGCUCCCUGCCCUCACACCCUGCUCAACCCUCUUAUGCUCACAGGUGCACACACACAGGUACACACUACACACACACUCACAUACACACCAAAAACACAGACACCCCACACACUGACACACCCCACCUGCUCUCACACGUUGCACACACACAAGCUACACACACAUGCUACAUACACACAUGCUACACACACACCUCCCACACUCACACAUGCUACAUACACACAUGCUACACACACACCUCCCACACUCACACAUGCUACAUACACACAUGCUACACACACACCUCCCACAUUCACACAUGCUACAUACACACAUGCUACACACACACCUCCCACACUCACACAUGCUACAUACACACAUGCUACACAUACACCUCCCACACACUCUCACACAUGCGUUGGCAGGUGCUUCCUUUUCAC